rnacentral:sRNA from 1 species
CUCUACCUUUUAAUGCCAGCGGCCUUUUGUUCCUUGGAGCAAGGUUGCUUGUGCGUCUUUGUGCGUCAUGUUGCACUUUCGCAGUGCGCAUGACGCAUUGAGUAUGUGGGGAACCUUUGCAAGUCCAACUGAAUUGAGUGUUCACACACACAUUAAGUUGCGUUACUUGCGAAGGAGGCCUCGACAUUUCUGUGGCCAUUUAUGAGCCCUCCUCCAAGGCAUGAAGUUAGGUCAGAGAACCCGCUGAAUUUAAGCAUAUAAGUAAGCGGAGGACAAGAAACUAAAUAGGAUUCCCUCAGUAAUGGCGAAUGAACAGGGAACAGCUCAGCAUGGAAAUCGGGACUUUCGGGUCUUGAAUUGUAGUCUCAAGAUGUACUGCCAACGGAGGCGCAGAUGUAAGCCUCUUGGAAAAGAGCAUCAACGAGGGUGAGAGUCCCGUUUGUCAUCUGCAGUCCCCCGUGCACGGUGUGCGUUCGAAGAGUCACGUUCCUCGGGAUUGGAGCGCAAAGUGGGUGGUAAAUUUCAUCUAAAGCUAAAUAUUGGUUCGAGACCGAUAGCAAACAAGUACCAUGAGGGAAAGGUGAAAAGGACUUUGAAAAGAGAGUUAAAAGUGCCUGAAAUUGCUGAAAGGGAAGCGAAUGGAACCAGCGUUCUUGAUGAGAUUGUUGCGCACUCUGGUGAUUGCUGGCUGCCUCACCGCAAGGGGGGUAGUUGGUUUUGAUCUAGACGUGCGUGGUGUUUCUUGUCUUGUGUGUCAUCGUCGGUGCAUGGGGGAGGAAACCUCCAGGGGGAUGGUAGCUCGACCAAGGUCGUGUGAAUACCUCUGGUAGUACUCGUCUGUGUAUCGAUCCUGCGUGCUUGGUUGCAGUGUUUGGUUUGCUUGCUUGUAUCCGAAGGAGCUUGCUCUCAGGCUGCCUGUAAGUACGCUGGGCACUUCUCAGGCACAAAGACGAUGACUAAAUGGUUCUAUUCGACCCGUCUUGAAACACGG